rnacentral:rRNA from 2 species
AGAGUUUGAUCAUGGCUCAGAUUGAACGCUGGCGGCAGGCCUAACACAUGCAAGUCGAGCGGUAGCACGGGAGAGCUUGCUCUCUGGGUGACGAGCGGCGGACGGGUGAGUAAUGUCUGGGAAACUGCCUGAUGGAGGGGGAUAACUACUGGAAACGGUAGCUAAUACCGCAUAACCUCGCAAGAGCAAAGAGGGGGACCUUCGGGCCUCUCGCCAUCAGAUGUGCCCAGAUGGGAUUAGCUAGUAGGUGAGGUAAUGGCUCACCUAGGCGACGAUCCCUAGCUGGUCUGAGAGGAUGACCAGCCACACUGGAACUGAGACACGGUCCAGACUCCUACGGGAGGCAGCAGUGGGGAAUAUUGCACAAUGGGCGCAAGCCUGAUGCAGCCAUGCCGCGUGUGUGAAGAAGGCCUUCGGGUUGUAAAGCACUUUCAGCGGGGAGGAAGGCGGUGAGGUUAAUAACCUCAUCGAUUGACGUUACCCGCAGAAGAAGCACCGGCUAACUCCGUGCCAGCAGCCGCGGUAAUACGGAGGGUGCAAGCGUUAAUCGGAAUGACUGGGCGUAAAGCGCACGCAGGCGGUCUGUUAAGUUGGAUGUGAAAUCCCCGGGCUUAACCUGGGAACUGCAUUCAAAACUGACAGGCUAGAGUCUUGUAGAGGGGGGUAGAAUUCCAGGUGUAGCGGUGAAAUGCGUAGAGAUCUGGAGGAAUACCGGUGGCGAAGGCGGCCCCCUGGACAAAGACUGACGCUCAGGUGCGAAAGCGUGGGGAGCAAACAGGAUUAGAUACCCUGGUAGUCCACGCUGUAAACGAUGUCGAUUUGGAGGUUGUGCCCUUGAGGCGUGGCUUCCGGAGCUAACGCGUUAAAUCGACCGCCUGGGGAGUACGGCCGCAAGGUUAAAACUCAAAUGAAUUGACGGGGGCCCGCACAAGCGGUGGAGCAUGUGGUUUAAUUCGAUGCAACGCGAAGAACCUUACCUACUCUUGACAUCCAGAGAACUUAGCAGAGAUGCUUUGGUGCCUUCGGGAACUCUGAGACAGGUGCUGCAUGGCUGUCGUCAGCUCGUGUUGUGAAAUGUUGGGUUAAGUCCCGCAACGAGCGCAACCCUUAUCCUUUGUUGCCAGCGAUUCGGUCGGGAACUCAAAGGAGACUGCCGGUGAUAAACCGGAGGAAGGUGGGGAUGACGUCAAGUCAUCAUGGCCCUUACGAGUAGGGCUACACACGUGCUACAAUGGCGUAUACAAAGAGAAGCGACCUCGCGAGAGCAAGCGGACCUCAUAAAGUACGUCGUAGUCCGGAUUGGAGUCUGCAACUCGACUCCAUGAAGUCGGAAUCGCUAGUAAUCGUAGAUCAGAAUGCUACGGUGAAUACGUUCCCGGGCCUUGUACACACCGCCCGUCACACCAUGGGAGUGGGUUGCAAAAGAAGUAGGUAGCUUAACCUUCGGGAGGGCGCUUACCACUUUGUGAUUCAUGACUGGGGUGAAGUCGUAACAAGGUAACCGUAGGGGAACCUGCGGUUGGAUCACCU